rnacentral:lncRNA from 1 species
ACUUGUCUGUGCUUGAACGUAAUAGAAAAAAGUGAUCUUGGAACAUCUAAUGAGAACAACAUGCUGGAGGACUGUUGUGAAGAAUCUGAAAAAUGGACUAUCCAGUUUUUUGAGUCUGCAUGGGAAGACUGUCGGCUCCGGAUUUGAUGACUUUUGUUUUUAAAUAGGAUUACUUCAAAAAGCACAAUUCUGUACAUUCUAGGGAUAAUUUAAACACCAGCAAUCCCUAUUGUGCAGCAAAUAAAGAGUAAUUAUCCAC